CAAUAGCGUAUAUUUAAGUUGUUGCAGUUAAAAAGCUCGUAGUUGGAUUUCGGGUGGGACGCAGCGGUCUCGCAUUGCGUUUGUACUGCUGCAGCCCUCCUUCUUGCCGGGGGCGGCCUCUCGGACUUCACUGUCUGGGGGUCAGAAUCGGCGAUGUUACUUUGAGUAAAUUAGAGUGUUCAAAGCAAGCUUACGCUCUGAAUAUAAUAGCAUGGGAUAACACGACAGGACUCUGGCCUAUCGUGUUGGUCUAUAGGACCAGAGUAAUGAUUAAGAGGGACAGUCGGGGGCAUUCGUAUUCCGUUGCCAGAGGUGAAAUUCUUGGAUUUACGGAAGACGAACAUCUGCGAAAGCAUUUGCCAAGGAUGUUUNCAUUGA
rnacentral:rRNA from 1 species